GAAGGUAUAGCUCAGUGGAUAGAGUACAUGCUUAGUAUGCACAGGGUCCUGGGUUCAAUUCCCAGUACCUUGA
rnacentral:tRNA from 1 species